AGAGUUUGAUCCUGGCUCAGGAUGAACGCUGGCGGCGCGCCUAACACAUGCAAGUCGAACGGUUAAAGCACCUCCGGGUGUGUAUAAAGUGGCGAACGGCUGAGUAACACGUGGGCAACCUGCCCCUCGCACCGGGACAGCCUCGGGAAACCGUGGUUAAUACCGGAUACGCCCCCUCUCCCGCAUGGAAGAGGGGGGAAAGCCCCGACGGCGAGGGAUGGGCCCGCGGCCUGUUAGCUUGUUGGCGGGGUAACGGCCCACCAAGGCGAUUAUGGGUAGCUGGGUUGAGAGACCGACCAGCCAGAUUGGGACUGAGACACGGCCCAGACUCCUACGGGAGGCAGCAGUGGGGAAUCUUGCACAAUGGGCGAAAGCCUGAUGCAGCGACGCCGCGUGCGGGGCGAAGGCCUUCGGGUUGUAAACCGCUUUCAGCAGGGACGAGGCCGCAAGGUGACGGUACCUGCAGAAGAAGCCCCGGCUAACUACGUGCCAGCAGCCGCGGUAAUACGUAGGGGGCGAGCGUUAUCCGGAUUCAUUGGGCGUAAAGCGCGCGUAGGCGGCCCGUUAGGUCGGGAGUUAAAUCCGGGGGCUCAACCCCCGCCCGCUCCCGAUACCGGCGGGCUUGAGUCUGGUAGGGGAAGGCGGAAUUCCCAGUGUAGCGGUGGAAUGCGCAGAUAUUGGGAAGAACACCGGUGGCGAAGGCGGCCUUCUGGGCCACGACUGACGCUGAGGCGCGAAAGCUAGGGGAGCGAACAGGAUUAGAUACCCUGGUAGUCC
rnacentral:rRNA from 1 species